GAAAUUUGUGAACCCCAAAAUCAAUUUAAACCAGUUGUAUAUUAGAAAUCAGGGCUCGUAAAAGCCUCACGGUUCAAACAUUGGGCAGCCGAGGCUCAGGAAACUAUCGCCUCACCUGACUGAACUCAGGUUGCGCACGCCUUUAGGGUUUGCUUGCAGUUGGACUGUAGGAGAAGCCCGAUCUCUGUUUAGACCAAAAUCAUUCAAUCAUUUCUUCUCCAAACGCUGCCUUUCCAUCCGUCUCUGAGUGCAAGCCAACAAAGCGAGGGAGAUGAUGUGAUCGAAAUGUGGUUUUUCUUGGUAAACCACAGGUUCAAACAUUUAGGGUUGCUGAUAAAUUAUGGUCAAUG